GAUGAACGCUANGCGGUAGCUAACACAUGCAAGUCGAGGGGCAUCGGGAUUGAAGCUUGCUUCAAUUGCCGGCGACCGGCGCACGGGUGCGUAACGCGUAUGUGACCUAUCUAUAACAGGGGCAUAACACUGAGAAAUUGGUACUAAUUCCCCAUAAUAUUCGGAGAGGCAUCUCUCCGGGUUGAAAACUCCGGUGGUUAUAGAUGGACAUGCGUUGUAUUAGCUAGUUGGUGAGGUAACGGCUCACCAAGGCAACGAUACAUAGGGGGACUGAGAGGUUAACCCCCCACACUGGUACUGAGACACGGACCAGACUCCUACGGGAGGCAGCAGUGAGGAAUAUUGGUCAAUGGACGCAAGUCUGAACCAGCCAUGCCGCGUGCAGGAAGACGGCUCUAUGAGUUGUAAACUGCUUUUGUACGAGGGUAAGCUCACCUACGUGUAGGUGACUGAAAGUAUCGUACGAAUAAGGAUCGGCUAACUCCGUGCCAGCAGCCGCGGUAAUACGGAGGAUUCAAGCGUUAUCCGGAUU
rnacentral:rRNA from 1 species